rnacentral:rRNA from 1 species
AGUUAUAUGCUGUCUCAAAGAUUAAGCCAUGCAUGUCUAAGUACAUACUAAAAUAAAGUUAAACCGCAUAAGGCUCAUUAUAUCAGUUAUGGUUUUUUAGAUCGUAUUCACAGUUACUUGGAUAACUGUGGUAAUUCUAGAGCUAAUACAUGCACUUAAGGGAAUUUUAACCGAUUCCUGCUUUUAUUAGAUAAAAACCAAUGGGGUUGACUUCGGUCUUCUCAAACAAAUGGUUGAACUCUGGAUAAUUUGUUGAUCGCAUGGUCUUUGUACCGGCGACGGAUCUUUCAAAUGUCUGCCCUAUCAACUAUUGAAGGUAGUGUCUUGGACUACCUUGGUUGCAACGGGUAACGGGGAAUCAGGGUUCGAUUCCGGAGAGGGAGCCUGAGAAACGGCUACCACAUCUAAGGAAGGCAGCAGGCGCGUAAAUUACCCACUCCCGGCACGGGGAGGUAGUGACGAAAAAUAACAAUACAAGACUCAUAUCUGAGGCCUUGUAAUUGGAAUGAGUACACUUUAAAUCCUUUAACAAGGAUCAAUUGGAGGGCAAGUCUGGUGCCAGCAGCCGCGGUAAUUCCAGCUCCAAUAGCGUAUAUUAAAGUUGUUGCGGUUAAAACGUUCGUAGUUGAACUUGUGUUUCGCACAGGCAGUACCCACGACUAGGUCACUAGUACGGUACUUUGUCUUUUCACUUUCGGGUGGGAUAAGUGCGUGAACGUAUUAUCGGCGUGUUCAUCUUUCGGGAUGUUCACUUAAGCUCAUUUCAGUGCUCUUCAUCGAGUGUUGUUGUGGGCCGAUACAAAUUACUUUGAACAAAUUAGAGUGCUUAAAGCAGGCUUCUAAUGCCUGAAUAUUUUGUGCAUGGAAUAAUGUAAUAGGACAUCUGUUCUACUUUCAUUGGUUUUUUAGAUCAA